rnacentral:lncRNA from 1 species
GCAGGCAGGCAGGCAGGCAGGCAGGCAGGCAGGCAGGCAUCCUUGGAAUACAGUAUUAGAGAAUAACGAAGCCUUGACAAGGUCCUGGUACGCAUCACCACAUCUCCAAUCUUGGAGGCACAGAAGGUUCUCAUAAACUCAGUAUCGAGGGCAAUGUGUACAAGAGGAAAGAAGUUAUAUUCACAGAACCUAAUGUUGCAGUUAAUGGGGAAUGUUUGUCACGAGGACUCAGGAUCCUGGACAAUGCUCCAUCCUGUAGGUCUCUUCGUGGAUCCCUGUGUUGAUGAGGCGGAUCUGGCACUGAUGGUUCAGGGUGUAAAGGUACAGAGACUGUUGAUGCAGUAGGACAGCUCCUCCCAUGGUCUGGAGUGUCUGCAUGUCAAGUGCUGCCAUGUCACUGUAUUCACUGUA